CAGACACCAUGGUGCACCUGACUCCUGAGG
rnacentral:misc_RNA from 1 species